UACGUAGGGGGCUAGCGUUGUCCGGAUUUAUUGGGCGUAAAGAGCGUGUAGGCGGCCAGGUAGGUCGGCUGUGAAAACUCGAGGCUCAACCUCGAGACGUCGGCGGAAACCAUCUGGCUAGAGUCCGGAAGAGGAGAGUGGAAUUCCUGGUGUAGCGGUGAAAUGCGCAGAUAUCAGGAAGAACACCCGUGGCGAAGGCGGCUCUCUGGGACGGUACUGACGCUGAGACGCGAAAGCUAGGGGAGCAAACAGG
rnacentral:rRNA from 1 species